AAGGAAUUAAUUAAUAUAUAAUAUUAGUUUGUCAAGCUAAAAUAAUUGAUUCAUCAAUAUUCCUUU
rnacentral:tRNA from 1 species